UACAGAGGGUGCAAGCGUUAAUCGGAAUUACUGGGCGUAAAGCGUGCGUAGACGGUUAUGUAAGUCGGGUGUGAAAGCCCCGGGCUCAACCUGGGAAUUGCAUUCGAGACUGCAUAGCUAGGGUGCGGAAGAGGGAAGCGGAAUUUCCGGUGUAGCGGUGAAAUUCGUAGAUAUUCGGAAGAACACCAGUGGCGAAGGCGACUGACUGGACAAGUAUUGACGCUGAGGUGCGAAAGCGUGGGGAGCAAACAGG
rnacentral:rRNA from 1 species